AAGGGGCUGGAUUCCGUUAAAAGGCGCCGGACUUAAGAUCCGGUGGCGUAGGCCUGCGUGGGUUCGAAUCCCACCCCCCGCACCA
rnacentral:tRNA from 1 species